ensembl:lncRNA
GGAUUUCUAUAUUUUUCCAAUAAUGUUUUCCAGCCAACAGACUAUGCAUGGACUAGUGAAUACUGGGCCAGUGCUCAAAUCAGAUGGCAUCAGCAGCUGCAAACUCAGAUCUAUCCUUGCCCUUCCUGAGGCCUGGCUUUGAUUACUGGGCCCCCCACCACGAGCCAACACAUGGCCAUGAGCGCAUACCAACUCAGUGCACAACCUCUGAGCAACCACUUGGAAACAAUCAAGAGAAAACAUAUGACCAAGCAGAGCUCUCCAACAACAUUUGGAAAUGGUCUAAGACACAAGGUAAAACCUCUCCUUUGACUGUCUAUAAACAAAGAUUAGAUUGCAAAAGCACAACACUUAGAGAACAGCAUACGAUAGACAUACAUUUACAGUCAUGUUAAAAUCCUCAUUAAGUGAGCAGGUAUACCUAAUAUGAAAAUGAAGCAUGACAGUAAAUGUGGCAGGAAACAGAUAAGUUCUUGGCCUGCGGUCAUUCAUUUUCAUUUUUAAAUCACCUCUGACUAAAACAUGUGGUGGCUCCCAUCCCAUUGCGGCAUCUUACAUCUGGUGGGCUAAGCAGGAUAAGCCAAGUCAAGCCCAUGGCGCUCUUCCAUGAACCUAUUGUUUGUGACCGUCCCAUCUGCUCAGAUUCACCAGUAUCAAGCGCGGGAGCAGAAGAGUGGGCAUCCGCAGGGACCCCCGCUGUAAACAUCACAGAAGGGAUGCUUCAUUUGAGGCACUGACUCAAUACCCCUCUUCAACCAAAAAUGAAUUGCGCCUCAGAAAAUGGAGAUUUAAUUUUCUCAUGAUAAGAAAAAAUGUGCUUGCCAAAUGGCUUCUUCUUUCUUCCAUCUUUUGAGUAACCAGUAUUUAAAGUAAUAUUUACAGUCAGUUGCUUGUUGUAUGAUGGGAAUCUCCAUACAUACUGCAGAUCCAAUUGUUUUUAAGUUACUAAAACAUUUUCAGAUUCAAUAAACUUAUUUAAAUAGAUCUGUUUUGUUUCCCA